rnacentral:rRNA from 1 species
ACGGCUCAGUAACACGUGGACAACCUACCCUUAGGUCGGGGAUAAACCCGGGAAACUGGGUAUAAUACCCGAUAGAUCUCGACUGCUGGAAUGCAUCGAGAUCGAAAGCUCCGGCGCCUAAGGAUGGGUCUGCGGCCUAUCAGGUAGUAGUGGGUGUAGCGUACCUACUAGCCUACGACGGGUACGGGUUGUGAGAGCAAGAGCCCGGAGAUGGAUUCUGAGACACGAAUCCAGGCCCUACGGGGUGCAGCAGGCGCGAAAACUUUACAAUGCUGGAAACAGCGAUAAGGGGACCUCGAGUGCCAGGUUACAAAUCUGGCUGUCGUGAUGCCUAAAAAGCAUUGCAUAGCAAGGGCCGGGCAAGACCGGUGCCAGCCGCCGCGGUAACACCGGCGGCUCGAGUGGUAACCGUUAUUAUUGGGUCUAAAGGGUCUGUAGCCGGCCGGAUAAGUCUCUUGGGAAAUCCAGCAGCUCAACUGUUGGGCUUUCAGGAGAUACUGUCUGGCUCGAGGCCGGGAGAGGUGAGAGGUACUUCAGGGGUAGGGGUGAAAUCUUGUAAUCCUUGAAGGACCACCAGUGGCGAAGGCGUCUCACCAGAACGGACCUGACGGCAAGGGACGAAAGCUAGGGGCACGAACCGGAUUAGAUACCCGGGUAGUCCUAGCCGUAAACGAUACUCGCUAGGUGUCGGCCACGGUGCGACCGUUGUCGGUGCCGUAGGGAAGCCGUGAAGCGAGCCACCUGGGAAGUACGGCCGCAAGGCUGAAACUUAAAGGAAUUGGCGGGGGAGCAC